rnacentral:rRNA from 1 species
AGUCGUACGCUUCUUUUUCCACCGGAGCUUGCUCCACCGGAAAAAGAGGAGUGGCGAACGGGUGAGUAACACGUGGGUAACCUGCCCAUCAGAAGGGGAUAACACUUGGAAACAGGUGCUAAUACCGUAUAACAAUCGAAACCGCAUGGUUUUGAUUUGAAAGGCGCUUUCGGGUGUCGCUGAUGGAUGGACCCGCGGUGCAUUAGCUAGUUGGUGAGGUAACGGCUCACCAAGGCCACGAUGCAUAGCCGACCUGAGAGGGUGAUCGGCCACAUUGGGACUGAGACACGGCCCAAACUCCUACGGGAGGCAGCAGUAGGGAAUCUUCGGCAAUGGACGAAAGUCUGACCGAGCAACGCCGCGUGAGUGAAGAAGGUUUUCGGAUCGUAAAACUCUGUUGUUAGAGAAGAACAAGGAUGAGAGUAACUGUUCAUCCCUUGACGGUAUCUAACCAGAAAGCCACGGCUAACUACGUGCCAGCAGCCGCGGUAAUACGUAGGUGGCAAGCGUUGUCCGGAUUUAUUGGGCGUAAAGCGAGCGCAGGCGGUUUCUUAAGUCUGAUGUGAAAGCCCCCGGCUCAACCGGGGAGGGUCAUUGGAAACUGGGAGACUUGAGUGCAGAAGAGGAGAGUGGAAUUCCAUGUGUAGCGGUGAAAUGCGUACAUAUAUGGAGGAACACCCGUGGCGAACGCGGCUCUCUGGUCUGUAACUGACGCUGACGCUCGAAAGCGUGCGGAGCAGACAGGAGUAGAUACCCUGCUAGUCCACGCCGUCCACGAUGACUGCGGAAUGUUGCACGGUGUCUGCCCCUCAGUGCUGCAGC